rnacentral:rRNA from 1 species
GGGGGGGGGGGGGGGGGGGGUGGGGGGGGGCGGGGGGGGCGGGGGGGGGCGGCGGGGGGGGGGUGGGCGGGGGGGGGGCGGGGGGGUGCCGCGUGAGUCCCCUGCCCUUGGCGUUGGGCUACCUUCCCGGCACUGGGGCUCCUCCCGGGUCGAGUCUCCUGCUGCCUGGUGGGGGUUUGACCGUUUCGGGGGUUGGGGGUUGACUCGCGGCUUGUCAGCUUGUUGGUUGGGUAGUGGCUUACCAAGGCUUUGACGGGUAGCCGGCCUGAGAGGGUGACCGGCCACAUUGGGACUGAGAUACGGCCCAGACUCCUACGGGAGGCAGCAGUGGGGAAUAUUGCACAAUGGGCGGAAGCCUGAUGCAGCAACGCCGCGUGCGGGAUGACGGCCUUCGGGUUGUAAACCGCUUUCGCCUGUGACGAAGCGUGAGUGACGGUAAUGGGUAAAGAAGCACCGGCUAACUACGUG